rnacentral:rRNA from 1 species
GACGAACGCUGGCGGCGUGCUUAACACAUGCAAGUCGAACGAUGAUCUCCCGCUUGCGGGGGUGCUUAGUGGCGAACGGGUGAGUAAUACGUGAGUAACCUGCCCUUGACUCUGGGAUAAGCCUGGGAAACCGGGUCUAAUACUAGAUACUACUUCCUGCCGCAUGGUGGGGGGUGGAAAGGGUUUUACUGGUUUUGGAUGGGCUCACGGCCUAUCAGCUUGUUGGUGGAGUAAUGGCUCACCAAGGCGACGACGGGUAGCCGGCCUGAGAGGGUGACCGGCCACACUGGGACUGAGACACGGCCCAGACUCCUACGGGAGGCAGCAGUGGGGAAUAUUGCACAAUGGGCGGAAGCCUGAUGCAGCGACGCCGCGUGAGGGAUGACGGCCUUCGGGUUGUAAACCUCUUUCAGCAGGGAAGAAGCCACAAGUGACGGUACCUGCAGAAGAAGCGCCGGCUAACUACGUG